AAUAACUGUGUUCUAUUGUAGCGUGUGUAUUGUGUGUAUUGAAACUAAGAUGCGCAUUUAGUGCGAUCAAAGUGUUAAUGUUAAUUUUAAUGUGCGUUUCUUGGAGCGAUUCAAUGCGACGGACAUCUAAGCGGUGGAGCAGAUGAUGGUGUGUUCUUGGGCAAGGUGUCGUCGUGAAGUAAAGAUCUUAAAUAAACUACAAGAGCGAAGUAACAAAAUGCAACAUCUUUUUUUCUUAAGAUUCCCCAUGCCACCACCUACUUAAUACUGGCCUGCAAAAGCUCACCUGAUGGAUGCCACGUGCCACGCAGGCUAAGGAACUUUGAGGCAACCGGCCGUCUGAUGCUGCUGCUGAGGACCUCGAUGUUGCUGCUGUGGUGCUGCAAGGAAAUCCGGGGUAGAGUUUAUUAAAAAAAAAAAAUACAAAUAAAUUGAAGCCAAAGGCAGGGCAUUGUACUUUGGUCUAACCUUCAAGUGUUUU
rnacentral:lncRNA from 1 species